UUUGAAGGAAAGUCCUAGAUUUGCAUUAAACUGUGACAUGAGUGAGAAAGACAAUUUUGUGUGAAGGCACUGAGAUAUUCUGGUUAUUUUUUAACACAAUCAAAAUUAAGUACCCUGAAAUAUAUAAGAAGUAAAUGCUAAUUCAUAAAGUAAAAAUCUUAAGUGCCGUAGAAGUUUAAAGAAGAUGGAGAUCUGUUAACAUCUCAACAUUAUGAACUCGAAUACUCCAUAGAGACUUAGUUUCUCACACUCUGUUUUUAAAUGAGUUGCAGUAGUCAAGAGGAAAACAUAUGGAAGAGAAAGAAAUCAAGCUGGACUUUGGAGGUUUCCUGAGAAAAGGAAGGCACUGGGGUGAAAUGAGGAGACUCCACUGGAUUGAUGGCUCUCCUGCCACUGGAUGACACAGCAAGGAGGCCUUUACCAGAUCCCAGCACUUUCGUCUUGGAUUUCCCAGCCCCUAGAACGCACUUCUUGCUGCCACUGUGUGAAGAAGGAUGUGUUUGCUUCCCCUUCCACCAUGAGUGUUAAGUUUCCUGAGGCCUCCCCAGCCAUGCUGAACUCCACUGUUUUUAGAAACUUAUUUCCUUAGUGCCUCAACCAUGGUGAAGUUCUGGAUGCUGCAUUGAGGAGCUUCCAGAUAUUCUCAUGCAUUCCUACAGUAAUGGAUCCCAGCCUGCCUACUUAGUAGUUGGAAGAAACCUACAGCAUUAAUUCAAGAUAACUUGCUUGCUAUUUGGUCAGGUAGCUAAUGUGUUCAUAAAACACAAAUGUCCAUUAAAAUAAUCACUUAUGGAAAAUAGUCCAUUAUAAUUAUGUAUGUAUGUCAAUCAAUAAACAUGUUUUUAAAAGCUAAUUUAAUUGGAAAUCAGUAGGACAAGGCCUAUUAUUGGCAGCUCAAAUAGAGUGGCUUUGAGGUCUAAGUCCUUGCAACAGCCCUAGUUUCACAACACUUUUAUUGUACUAAUCUAGCAGUCCGACUCUGAAAACCUGAGACAAGUUCCGUGGGGGGGAUGGAGAGGAAAGGGGAAAGAAAACUGAAAGCAAUAUAAUUUUCUGUACCUAUUUGAAACAAUACUGAGAGCAAAGCAAAUUUAACUCAGCUACUUGCUCCAGAAACUACUUGUUUCUUAAAGAUAAGACUGAACCAACUAAACAGGUUACUUAUAAAGACUAAUAGCUUGUUUAUAAUGAAUAGCUUCAAGACUCUGGCUUCUCUGAGCCCAUUUGUCUAAAUCUAUUCUCUAAUAAACUCUCUUCAAUCCCAACCAGUACUGUUUCUUGCAAGAUCUGACUUAAAAAGUCCUAGCCCAGGCCCUAAAAGUCUAUUUGAUAUCUUACCUUGAAGUUCACCUUCUGAGACACUACUAAGAUUUGUCAUGGUGGUAUUCUUUCUUUUUCAUAAACAGGUAUUUCCAGUGAACUUCUAAGGAGUCAACAGUUGACAAACCAAAAGAUCCUACCAAGACCCAAUCAAGAUCCCUCCUUUACUGCAUACAUGAAGAUCUGGAGAAAUACAUUCCCCUGAGAUUUCUUGAUCCUCUAAAUUGGGAUCGAGGGAGUGUCUCUGACCUCAAGAUUGAGGUAUGACUUGAAUUGGGUCUGAGCUCCAAUUUUGUUUUGUCAAUUCACAAACAUUAUUUUCCCAGGGAGGGACAAAGAAGCAUUUUAGGCAUUUUUUUUAAAAAAGAAACAUUUUAGGAAUUAUUAACAUUUUAAAGAAGUAUUUUAAAUAUUAGAUAAAGAUUUAGGUAUCACAUAUUAUAUAAAGAAGACUUUUAGGAAUUAUUAAGUAGAAAAUUGCCUAUUUUUCUAACAACAUGUCUUAGUGUGUUCUCACACUGCUGUAAAGAGCUUCUCUGAGACCAGGUAAUUUAUAAAGGAAAGAGGUUUAAUUGACUCACAGUUCUGCAUGGCUGGGAAGGCCUCAGGAAACUUACAAUCAUGGCAGAAAGGGAAGCAGGCACCUCCUCACCAGUGGCAGGAGAAAGAGUACAAGCAGGGGAAAUGCCAGACAUUUAUAAAACCAUCAGAUCUCAUGAGAACUCACUUACUAUCAUGAAAACAGCAUGAAAGACACUUCCCCCAUAAUCCAAUCACUUCCCUCUCUCUACACAUAGGGAUUACAAUUCAUGAUGAGAUUUGGUUGGGGACACAAAGCCUAACCAUGUCACAACAUUUUGGAUCAUCUCUGUCUUUCUGUUACAAGUCUUUAAGACGAAGCCUAUAGAGAGAGGAGGUGCAUAGGCCAAGUGCGUCCAUCCCAAGUACUGAAGAAUUUAAAAGAUCAUAUCACGAUGGCAUUAUUUGGACAUAAUUUGCAUUGGGUCAGUUUUCUAAAACCUUAUACAUAUGCUCUGAGUGGAUGUAUUAAUAGUUUAUGUAUACCUUAAUAAAAUUGAUUUAAAGUAAACAUUUAAGGACUUUCCUGUGGCUUGUCUUUGUGUCCCUAGAAUUGGUUUAUUUAGUUUUGUCUGACCUGAGUUGGAGGGUUUUUUGGGCCCUGUAUUAGUCUGUUUUCAUGCUGCUGAUAAAGACAUACCUCAGACUGGGGAAUUUACAAAAGAAAGAGGUUUAUUGGUGUUACAGUUCCACAUGGCUGGGGAGGCCUCACAGUCACGGUGGAAGGCAAGGAGAAGCAAGUCACAUCUUAUGGGAUGGAAGCAGGCAAAGAGAGCUUGUGCAGGGGGACU
rnacentral:lncRNA from 1 species